rnacentral:rRNA from 1 species
UACGGAGGGUGCAAGCGUUAUCCGGAUUCACUGGGCGUAAAGGGCGCGUAGGCGGCUUUCUAAGUCAGGGGUGAAAUCCUGGAGCUCAACUCCAGAACUGCCUUUGAUACUGGGAAGCUCGAGUCCGGAAGAGGUGAGUGGAACUCCGAGUGUAGAGGUGAAAUUCGUAGAUAUUCGGAAGAACACCAGUGGCGAAGGCGGCUCACUGGUCCGGUACUGACGCUGAGGUGCGAAAGCGUGGGGAGCAAACAGG